GGGGAAUUAGCUCAGCUGGCUAGAGCGCUACGCUUGCACCGUAGAGGUCAUCGGUUCGACUCCGAUAUUCUCCACCA
rnacentral:tRNA from 1 species